rnacentral:rRNA from 1 species
GUAGGUGGCAAGCGUUGUCCGGAAUUAUUGGGCGUAAAGCGCGCGCAGGCGGUUCUUUAAGUCUGAUGUGAAAGCCCACGGCUCAACCGUGGAGGGUCAUUGGAAACUGGAGAACUUGAGUACAGAAGAGGAAAGCGGAGUUCCACGUGUAGCGGUGAAAUGCGUAGAGAUGUGGAGGAACACCAGUGGCGAAGGCGGCUUUCUGGUCUGUAACUGACGCUGAGGCGCGAAAGCGUGGGGAGCAAACAGGAUUAGAUACCCUGGUAGUCCACGCCGUAAACGAUGAGUGCUAAGUGUUAGGGGGUUCCCCGCCCCCCUUAGUGCUGCAGCUAACGCAUUAAGCACUCCGCCUGGGAGUACGGCCGCAAGGCUG